UAUAGGAAGUCGGGCCUGCCCGGUGCAAAGAGUAAACGGCUGCAACGCGAGUUGUACUAAGGUAGCGCGAUAAUUUGUCUCUUAAUUGGAGAAUGGUAUGAAAGGUUUGACGCGGAUUAGUUGUCUCUGGAAAAAAUAAUGAAGUUUCCUUUUAAAUGAAAAGGUUUAAAUAGUAAUAAAAGACGAGAAGACCCUGCCGAGCUUGAUCAGGUCUAGCAUAAAGGCGUUAGAUUAAAAGGUAGUUGGGGAGAGCUAAACUUUAGAGAAUAGGUUUUUGGAAAACGUGGAUCCUCUCGGAGAGAAAAUAGGUAAAAGCUACCGCAGGGAUAACAGCGUAAUUUCCCUUAAGAGAUCGUAUUGAGUGGGAAGUUUGCGACCUCGAUGUUGGAUUAGAAAAACUUCUUGGCGCAGAAGCUAAGAAAAGUGAGACUGUU
rnacentral:rRNA from 1 species